ensembl:lncRNA
CUGAUAUUUUGAAUGUUUCACUUCGUACAAUUCGAAGACGUCUGCGACAGUAUCAUUUCACCCGUGCAUCAAUGUAUGCGGAACUGACUGACAGUGCCUUGGAUGAACAUGUGCAGGACAUUGUUGCUGGCAAUGAACAAAUUGGUCCUGAGGCUGUCAGAGCCUCCCUGCAAGUACGUGGACUACGUGUACAGCGAAGGAGGGUUCGAGCAAGCAUGUUACGGAUGAAUCCUGGAGCAGCUGCCCUUAGAGCAGUUUUGCGGAGACCAGAACGAAGAACAUAUCAGGUUGCAGGUCCAAACUCAUUGUGGCACAUUGAUGGAAAUCACAAGCUGAUACGGUGGAGGAUAGUCAUUCAUGGGGCUAUUGAUGGAUACAGUCGUC